rnacentral:rRNA from 1 species
AUUGAACGCUGGCGGCACGCCUAACACAUGCAAUUCGAACGGGGCAGCAAUGCCUAGUGGCGGACGGGUGAGGAAUACGUAGGAAUCUGCCCUUAAGUGGGGGAUAACCAGGGGAAACCCUGACUAAUACCGCAUGAUCUCUUCUGAUCAAAGAGGGGGACCGCAAGGCCUCUCGCUUCUGGCUGCGCUGACGUCUGAUUAGGUAGUUGGACGGGUAAAGGCCUACCAAGGCGACGAACAGUAACUGGUCUGAGAGGAUGAUCAGUCACACCGGAACUGAGACACGGUCCGGACGCAUACGGGAGGCAGCAGUGGGGAAUAUUGGACAAUGGGCGCAAGCCUGAUCCAGCAAUGCCGCGUGUGUGGAGAAGGCCUUCGGGUUGUAAAGCACUUUAGCCUGGAAAGAAAAAACUUUGGCUAACACCCAAAGUCUUGACGGUACCAGGAGAAUAAGCACCGGCUAACUCUGUGCCAGCCGCCGCAGUAACAC